rnacentral:rRNA from 1 species
UACGUAGGGACCAAGCGUUGUUCGGAUUUACUGGGCGUAACGGGCGCGUAGGCGGCAAUUCAAGUCAUCUGUGAAAUCUCCGAGCUUAACUCGGAACGGUCAGAUGAUACUGCUUUGCUAGAGUGCAGAAGGGGCAACCGGAAUUCUUGGUGUAGCGGUGAAAUGCGUAGAUAUCAAGAGGAACACCGGAGGUGAAGACGGGUUGCUGGGCUGACACUGACGCUGAGGCGCGAAAGCUAGGGUAGCAAACGGG